rnacentral:rRNA from 2 species
UACGUAGGUCCCGAGCGUUGUCCGGAUUUAUUGGGCGUAAAGCGAGCGCAGGCGGUUAGAAAAGUCUGAAGUGAAAGGCAGUGGCUCAACCAUUGUAGGCUUUGGAAACUGUUUAACUUGAGUGCAGAAGGGGAGAGUGGAAUUCCAUGUGUAGCGGUGAAAUGCGUAGAUAUAUGGAGGAACACCGGUGGCGAAAGCGGCUCUCUGGUCUGUAACUGACGCUGAGGCUCGAAAGCGUGGGGAGCGAACAGG